ACGUCCUCAGCGCUCCACGUCCCCUUCUGCCGCUUUGCUCAGCUGCUGCCCCAUCCCGGCGAUCCCGGCUCACAUAGUGCCUCAGUGCUGUCUGACACAAUCUAUCAGCUGACAUUUUGCAGAAUUUUAUAUAAAUAAGGGAAUAAUACAGCGUGGCCUCAUAUUUCUGUGAUUUCUUUCAGCACCAUCGGGAGAGCUCUUCUUGUUACGCAGUAUAAAAGUUCUUUUCUCUUGCCACAUCUACUUUGCCUUGUGAAUAGACCACAACUUGUUUAUCUUUUUGCCUGUUGACAGGACUUUGGGCUGUUUCCAAUUUGGGGGUUUAGCAAUGGAAUCUGUGAAGAAUUGUGUGGAGCUCUUUUUAUAGGAGCAGCUCUUCUGUUUCUUCAUCAUGAAGAUAUAAGAAGUAUAAGGGAAGGCAGUGUCAGGCGUGAGUGGCUGAGCUGUGCUCUUCACAAUGUAAAUCUCGCACAUGCAGACCAUUUGUUGAAUCAGCAACCGUGGUCAUGUUUGUGCCGAUGUGAUCAGAGUUCUGGAACCUGAGAUGAAAAGAUGACCUGCAUGGGCCCUGUCUAGCCUCGAGCACUGAAUAGCAGAGAACCCUUCCCAGCUGAGUCUGAGGAACCUGCAGUCCCAGCUAAAAGGUUUGAAGACCAUGAAGACAGAAGAUCCACAAGCCAUUGAAGCUGGUGGCCUGGCCAUUAGGAGCUGGAAAAGGAGAAGAAAAGAAAAGGUCUCACCUUGUAGACCACCUUGUAGAGAGACAUGCAGCCCUGCCUGAAGCAGGAAGGAAACUGUAAUCUGAUACGGCAUCAGCAGGAAACUAGCAUAAAUUUGCAUUAAUUGUUGUUUCUUCCAUUAAAAUAAAAAACUUACUUUAUUCAGCAAAUUUUUGAAAGAAUAAAAGAAAACUUACAAUGACUAUUUCUUGUAUGAAAAUUAGAGAAUUAGGAUAAAAACUUAAAUGAUAUAAUACAUCCCAUUAUAUGUACUAGAGAUAGACGUCAAUUUUUUAAUAGAAACACAUGAAAAGAAAGUAUUGCAACUUGUUCUUUGCAAUUAGUAUAAUAUGAUCAUCUUUAUUGGCCAAUAAAC